ACAAAAGCCUUACUCCAGACAAACAGCUCGUCCCACACCUAACUCUAGAUGUGCUAAUUUGGCACUUAGAACACACAAGCACUCACGCUUAAACUCACAAACGCUUCCCAACCACUAACCUCUUAGUGGUUUGGUUUAUCAAUGAUGCUUUCACACAAAGCUAAGUAAGAGAUAUUGAAAUCCUAGUAUAGUGUACACUCAAAUUAAGGACAUGGUUCUGCUAGAUGAGGCCAACCCGGGUAUGGUAUCCCAAGUUUCGUCUUAAUAACUCAAGGAUCUUAUAGGAGUACACUUACUCACAUCAGUUUCUACUUUCUACUUUAGGGAUGAAUCAACAUACACUGAUGGAAAGAUCUACAAAAAGGAUGAAAGGACUGCAACAAAUUACGAAACAUUGGCAUAAAAUAAACAAGAAACACAAUUAAGAGAAUUGCAGAUCUACAUUAUCAAGUAUCAAUUGAACCAUAUAAGAGAUGAAUGAGAGAGAGAGAGAGACCGCAACAGCAUAGCAAGCAGCGCACUUGUCAUCGAUAGGAGUAGCGAACGUUAAGAAGGCAAAGAAGGUCGCAAGCCAUAACCACGAAUAGGAUGCCGCCAUUUCUGUGUUUCCUUGAAGUCGUCUUCUUCCAACACAGGUAUCCCAAUUUUGAGCUUGGAUUGGUAUCUAUAUCAUAGUAAAAUGUCAAAAUAUUAUCUUACAAAUUUUUUUUUACCAAAGCUAAAUCAAAGUAAUACUAAAAUAGAGUUAUUUGAUACUACAAAUCAAAGUAAUUUUAUUUUGGUACCAAGAUUAUAUUUUUGUAUGAGUGAGUGUAGAGAUGGCAACGGGUAGAAUCUGGAUAGGAUGCAUAUCCAUAUUCUUUUUUAGGCAAGGAUCCAAAUCCUACUCGGAUCUAUUGGGUAAUAAGAAGAAUGAGGAUCCAGAUCCUUAUGGAUCCUACAGAUCCGGGCCCUAAAUAGAUCUUUGUCUAUUUUCUUCAAAUUAUCCUAAUUUUCACAAUAAUUAAAGAUUUUGAACAAUAAAGUCAUCUAAUAUUAAUCAAAAAUUACAUUUACUUUCUGAAAAAUAACAAUUGCAACCAUUUACAACUAUUUAAUUAUCAAACUGUAGACUAAUUAACUAUUUCUAAAAUAUUAACAAUUAUCAAUCGAUUUUUCGAACUAAAUAAUCCAGUAAAUUCGCACAUUAAUUAGAACAAUAAUUCGAAAUUCAAGCAAAAGUUCGUUAUUACAUGUAAUAACUAAUAUUACAAUAUCAAAUAAUAAUAAUAAUAUUAUAAAAAGAGGUAAAUGGAUCUGGAUUUGGGUAAUAGUUUAGGAUCCGAUCCAUAUUCGUAUUUUUCCAAAGAGGAUCCAUAUCCUACCCGGAUCCUAGAGUCCAAAAAUUGAGGAUCCAAAUCCGUAAAAAAUGGAUAUGGAUCCACGGAUCCGAGUAGGGUCCAUUACCCACUGUCAUCUCUAAGUGAAUGACUCUAUUUUGGUAUCACUUUGAUUUAGUUUUAGUACCAAAAUUUUGUGAGAUGCAUAUGAGUUACCAAUACUUUCUCCCGGUUUUCGCUCGGUAUUAGUGAGACAUUCUUCAGUCUUGGUAUAUACUCCCUUCAUUUUCUUUUGUUUUUUUUUUUUUAAUAAGGAGAACAAACUUAGGCUAACCCCCCUAAUCUGGGGACCAGCCUCCUCCAUUUUCUUUUGUUGUUCAUGUAUUAUCUAUUGGUAAAUUUAAAUAUGUUGUUCCUAUUUUGAAUGUUUUCAUAAAUAAUAUAAUUUAUGAACUAAAAUUUUCAUUUA